ACAGCUUGAGCUGCUUUCUGUUCCAAGUUGCAGAGAGCGUCGUGGAGCCUUUUUCAAAAAGCAGGUCAGCUACUCACAGCAGUUCCUGCAACCUCGGCUGCCAUGAUCUUUUUUAUUAAUUUAGCCAGUUCGUUGAGAUUCGUGGCAGGAUUUGAGCCUCAUACGAGACCCUUCUCCUGGCCUUUGUGGAGGAGUUACCAGGCUUCAGAAAUCCUCUCAUUAAAGAAGAUGCUGGAAGGAGGGUGAGCAGACUUCUUCCUCUGCAGGAGACCCAGCUAGAGGGCAUGGGAACGAGAGGGAGCACCAGGCUUGGAGGGGCAGGAGGAAGGUCUAGGGACUGCUCACCACAGACACCAAGAGGGUGACAUCUGGGGCUGAAAGUCAGAAGGAAGCAAUUGCCCUAGAGGUUCCAAGAACAUGUUCCCUGUGGGAAAAGGCCAAGGAAGCUCCGGCUGCACAUCCAGGCUCUUUCUGCUGAACCCACCAGGUUUCUUGGAAGAGCUAGGCCUUAAGCAAGACUGGGAAAUAUAUGUGGCAAACAAGGAAGAGGAGGAAUCCACUUCAGACAAAAAUGGGGCUGAUGAGAUGGCUCAUCAGAUAAAGGAACCUGCCGCCAAGACUGAAGACCUGAGUUCUAUGCCCAGGACUGAUGGAAAGAAGAAGCCCUUAAGUUGUCCUUUGACCUCUACAUGUGUACCAUGGUGCAUAUACCCCCCCGCCACAAACACCCACACCCAUACCCCAAACAAAUACAAAUGUAAUUUUAAAAAUUUAAAGAUCUCUUCUAGUACUAGGUAGGGUUAGGGGCUGAAUCCCACAUUCCAUCUGGAGUUUUUUGGUUUUUGUUGUUGUUGUUGUUGUUGUUGUUGUUGUUGUUGUUUUCAAGGCAGUGUUUCUCUGUGGCUUUGGAGGCUAUCCAGGAACUAGCUCUUGUAGACCAGGCUGGUCUCGAACUCACAGAGAUCCACCUGCCUCUGCCUCCCAAGUACUGGGAUUAAAGGCGUGUGCCACCACCACCCAGUUUCAUCUGGAGCUCUUGUGACUCCAAAUUCUCAAUUCACACUUGACCUUCAGGAAGUCAUGAAGAUGUCUGUCAAGUCAGGAGAAGAGAUUGAAGACUUUGCUUGUUUGAUGACUUAACUUUUAAACACUUGGAUAUAUGGAAGCUGGCCUUGACUGGACUCUUCUCUGUGCUUCAAAAUGUCCCUGGGUGAGUUUAUGGUCCCUAGUCCAUUGAUGCCUUGUUCUCACUUAUAUCACGAUUAAGCCGAGCCUUGUCUCUGAAGAGCUCCACUCUUUCCCAGCAGGCCUGCAGGUGCAAUAGACAGACUUAAUGGGUGGCAAAGCCAAUGGACUCAAGGCCUUGGUGAAUUCCAAGAUCAUGAGGGAGCAGAAAGGUUGAAUCAUGGGAAGACUAGAAGAAAGGAUGUGUGAUAGGUAGGGUUUUAGUUGAGGGGGGGUGGUAGGGGAGGACAGGAGGGAGAAGGGAACUGGGAUUGUCAUGUAAAACAAUCUUGUUUCUAAUUUAAAUAAAAAAACAAUCUGAAGAAAAAAAAAAUCCCUUACCCCCAGCCAGGCCCGGUGGGCCAUCUGAUAGCCCUGCAUUCUCCCAAAUAUGUAUCUCGAGAUUUGGGAUCCUCUAGAGCAGUGGUUCUCAGCCUUUCUAAUGCUGCAACCCUGUAGUAAAGUUCCUCAUGUUGUGGUGACCCCCAAUCAUAAAAUUAUUUCAUUGCUAUUUCAUUACUAUCAUUUUGAUAAUGUUAUGAAUUGUAAACAUCUGUGUUUUCUGAUGGUCUUAGGCGACCUCUGUGAAAGGGUUACUCAAUCCCCAAAGGGGUCACAACACACAUAUUGAGAACUGCUGCUCUGUGGGCACACAGGUCAUGCCUUACAGAGAGGCAGGGUAGGUUUCUGAGUGACUGAAGAACCUGGAAAAACCCUGUAGUUUUCCAAAAUAAUGGAUCCCUACCAUGUCCCCUGCUUCUGAGCUGAGGCCUGAAACACCUCUACAGGCAUCAAAGUCUCUUGCUCCUUUUAGCUCUCUUGAACCUACCCUGCUGUCACCAUACUCCACCAAACUGCAGCAGGCUCUAGAGUGCAGGGAGCAGGGAGCAGGGGAGUAUAGAAGGCUAUAAUGAUACAACAGCAAGACUUUUCAGACUUCUACACUGAAGUAGUUUCCAGAAUAUCCAGCAGACUGACAGGGAGGUCCUGCAUUGACGGGAGGGAGGCAAGGAGAGAGAGAGAGAGAGAGAGAGAGAGAG
rnacentral:lncRNA from 1 species